AGACAGAGUUCAUCAUAUUUGUUGUAUGGAAGUGAAGUUCAAAGCGUGGUUUUCUAGUUUUGGUGUAUAAUCUGGAUAUAAGUAAUGGCCAGCAAUGCUCAGAUAGAGCAUGGUGGAGAGGAUUCGUUAUUAACUAGUGCCGUGAGUUAUUGUUCUUUCCAGGUGGGUAGAUUGCAACUUCACUGGAAGGGCGAGAAUCAUUCUUUGUUCAGGUCUUACAAGCGAGCCACCUUGGAUGCUCCAGCAUGUUCUUCAUCAAGCCCUUGAACGCUUAACCUGUGUUGAAAAUGGAAUUAGUGCCACUGAAGCCACCAUGUCGACAAAGUAUCUAUUAAUUGUGGAGAAGUUGGAGGCAUUAGACCAAAAAAUUGAAAAAAUGCAUAAAGUUACAAUCCACAAAAUGGCAGAGACUGAUUUUGAUCAUCAUACAUCUGUGGUAGACACGUACUUAAAAGAAUUACCAGUAACGACCACGAAGGCUGUGGAAGCCAUUGAUGUACUUUUAC